rnacentral:rRNA from 1 species
AAGAUUAGCCUGCGUCCGAUUAGCUAGUUGGUGGGGUAAGGGCCUACCAAGGCGACGAUCGGUAGCUGGUCUGAGAGGAUGACCAGCCACACUGGAACUGAGACACGGUCCAGACUCCUACGGGAGGCAGCAGUGGGGAAUAUUGGACAAUGGGGGCAACCCUGAUCCAGCAAUGCCGCGUGUGUGAAGAAGGCCUGAGGGUUGUAAAGCACUUUCAGUGGGGAGGAGGGUUGAUAGGUUAAGAGCUGAUUAACUGGACGUUACCCACAGAAGAAGCACCGGCUAACUCCGUGCCAGCAGCCGCGGUAAUACGGAGGGUGCGAGCGUUAAUCGGAAUUACUGGGCGUAAAGGGUGCGUAGGUGGUUUGAUAAGUUAUCUGUGAAAGCCCUGGGCUCAACCUGGGAACUGCAGAUAAGACUGUUGGACUCGAGUAUAGGAGAGGGUAGUGGAAUUUCCGGUGUAGCGGUGAAAUGCGUAGAGAUCGGAAGGAACACCAGUGGCGAAGGCGGCUACCUGGCCUAAUACUGACACUGAGGCACGAAAGCGUGGGGAGCAAACAGGAUUAGAUACCCUGGUAGUCCACGCUGUAAACGAUGUCAACUAGCUGUUGGUCUUAUGAAUGAGAUUAGUGGCGCAGCAAACGCGCUAAGUUGAC